rnacentral:rRNA from 1 species
GACAGAGGGUGCUAGCGUUGUUCGGAAUGACUGGGCGUAAAGAGCGCGUAGGCGGUUAACCAAGUCAGAUGUGAAAGCCCCGGGCUUAACCUGGGAACUGCAUUUGAUACUGGUUGACUGGAGUACGAGAGAGGAAAGUGGAAUUCCUAGUGUAGAGGUGAAAUUCGUAGAUAUUAGGAGGAACACCAGAGGCGAAGGCGGCUUUCUGGCUCGUAACUGACGCUGAGGCGCGAAAGCGUGGGGAGCAAAC